rnacentral:rRNA from 1 species
AUACGUAGGUGGCAAGCGUUGUCCGGAUUUACUGGGUGUAAAGGGCGUGUAGGCGGAGAUGCAAGUCAGGAGUGAAAUCUAGGGGCUCAACCCCUACACUGCUUUUGAAACUGUAUCCCUUGAGUAUCGGAGAGGCAGGCGGGAUUCCCUGGGUGGCGGGGGAAUGCGUAGAUAUUAGGAGGAACACCAGUGGCGAAGGCGGGUAACUGGACUGCAACUGACGCUGAGGCGCGAAAGUGUGGGGAGCAAACAGGAUUAGAUACCCUGGUAGUCCACACUGUAAACGAUGAAUGCUAGGUGUAAGAGGUAUCGACCCCUUUUGUGCCGGAGUCAACACAAUAAGCAUUCCGCCUGGGGAGUACGGCCGCAAGAUUGAAACUCAAAGGAAUUGGCGGGG